rnacentral:rRNA from 1 species
GCAGGCUGCAACUCGCCUGCAUGAAGUCGGAAUUGCUAGUAAUCGCGGAUCAGCAUGCCGCGGUGAAUACGUUCCCGGGCCUUGUACACACCGCCCGUCACACCAUGGGAGCCGGGGGCGCCUGAAGUCCGGGACCGCGAGGACCGGCCUAGGGCGAAACUGGUAACUGGGGCUAAGUCGUAACAAGGUAUC